rnacentral:rRNA from 1 species
GUGAAAUUGUUGAAAGGGAAACGAUUAAAGUCAGUCGUACCUACGAGUGAUCAACCUACUCGAGUGCGAUUUUGUGGGUAUGUUAGAGUUUAAACCUUCAUGCUUACAAAUUGGUGCUCUUUGGGCGUACUUUCUCGUAUGGUAGGUUAACAUCAAUUUCGAUCGUUAUAAAAUGACUGGAGGAAUGUGGCUUCGAUCUCGUAUUGAAGUGUUAUAACCUUUGGUAGAUGUGAUGUUUGAGACCGAGGAUUGCAACGGAUACCCUUCUGGGCUAUUCGUCUGAUCUCUGAAACGUUGCCUUGAUGUCGAAAGCUUGCUUAUGAUGUUAGGGUAUUACGGUCAAAAGGUUAGAACGGAUUAAAUUCGUUAAGGAUGUUGACGUAAUGGCUUUAAACGAC